AAUUUCUGGUACGGUGCGCCUGGCCCGCUGCCGCAAGGUACGCGAGUGCUGGUUGUGCGUCUGCCAUACUUGUAGCUAAGCAUCUCUUUACUGGGUUGCCGAACUACAUCUUUUACUUUGAAAAAAUUAGAGUGUUUAAAGCAGGCUUUUGCUAUGAAUACAUUAGCAUGGAAUAAUAAUCUAGGACUUCGGUUCUAUUUUGUUGGUUUCUAUAACUGAAGUAAUGAUUGAUAGGGAUAGUUGGGGGUGCUAGUAUUGGCCGGCCAGAGGUGAAAUUCUUGGAUUCGGUCAAGACUAACUUAUGCGAAAGCAUU
rnacentral:rRNA from 1 species